ensembl:lncRNA
CCGUGAUGUCACCAUCAGCAGGGCACAGCAGCCAGAGCAGCUGAGGAUUGUGACUGGGUGACGAAGACUGCAGACAAUGGGAGAGCUGUUCUCAUUUGUGCUUCAUAAUAUUGACGGCUGCUAUCAAUGUCCUGGCCUCAGUCUUGAGUCUUUUCUAACUGGCCAAGAGCUGCCCUAAUGAGCUCUUGGAUCUGCCCUUGGCUCUUUGUGUACCUCCGACCAAAUCUUCGGCUACCCAAGAGGAAACACAGGUGAAAAAAAGCAGGAGAGUGGGCAUCUUGAUACCCCCCAUGGCUACCCAACGCAAUGGAUUCUCCAUUCACCAAGCGGACAGGACAUUGGAUUCAGGGAAAACCAGAGGGAAAGGGCUAUGUUUCUGCAUCAACAGCAAAUGGUGUGCAGUGGAAGUCUCAACCUAUUGUUCACCUGUCUUGGAAUACCAUAUGGUCAAAUGCAGACCCGUCUACCUCCCAAGAGAGUUUGAAUCUGUUAUCGUGACUGCUCCACCUCAGGACAACAAGCUGACACUUGACAAAUGGUACAAGGCUAUAAACAAGCAGGAAAUCAUGCACCCAGAUAUUACUUUUCUUAUUGCCGGUGAUUAAAAUUCAGCGCCACUAAAACACGUGAUGCCCAACUUCUAGCAACACGUCUCCUUUGUCACUAGGGCCAAUAAAGUCCUAAACCACUGUUACUCAACCCACAAGCAAGCAUACAAGCCCCCACCCACUUCCCCCCUUCGGCAAAUCAGAUCAUGAUUCCAUACUCAUGCUUCCUGUUUACAAACAGAAUCUCAUACAGGAAGUACCCGUGACAAACUGCUUAGAAAAAUGGUCUACCGUAUCAGAGGCUAUGCUGCUGGACUGCUUUGCUAGUGCUGACUGGAAUAUGUUCUAUGACUCUGCCGAUAACAUUGACGAGCUAACCACCUCCGCAACCAGCUUCAUCAGGAAUUGCAUCGCCGACAUCAUCCCCACGGUGAAGGUUCGCUGCUUCCCCAAUCAAAAGCCCUGUAUUAACACAGAGGUCUGUGCUAAGCUAAAGGACAGAGCUACCACUUACAGGGCUAUCACAGCCAACCCUGAGGCUAUGGCCAAGAAGACGUACAUGAAGUCCUGCUACGACCUCCACAAAGCCAUCAAACAGGCAAACAACAAUAUCGUAACAAGGUGCAAUCUUAUUAUACUGGCUCUGACACUCAGUGCAUGUAGCAGGGGCUACAGUACAUUAUGGACUAUAAAGGAAGCCGAGAUCUGUCCAACAAUGCCUCUCUACCAGACAAACCAGUUGCCUUUUAUGCACGCUUUGACAACAACAACACAGAGACCUGCAUUAGGGCCCCUGUAGAUCCUGAGGACUGGGUGAUCUCUCUCUCCAAGGCUGACAUCCACAGACGACGCAAUCCCAAUUGCACUCCACACUGCCCACUCCCACCCAGAAAAGAGGAAUAGCUAUGUGAGGAUGCCGUUCAUCAACUACAGCUCAGCAUUCAACACCAUCGUGCCCUCCAAGCUCGUCACCAAGCCCUGGGAUUGAACACCACUCUGCAACUGGAUCUUGGACUUCCUGAUGGGCCGACCCCAGGUGGUAAGAGUAGGGCACAACACUUCCGCCAUGCUGACCCUCAACAUGGGAGCCCCCCAGGAAUGUGUGCUUAGCCCCCUCCUGUACUCCCUGUUCACUCACAACUGUGUGGCCAUCCAAGACAUACAUGCCAGGUGGUGUCUGAGAAAGGCUCAAAAAAAUUGCCAAAAACCCCAGCCACCCAAGAGAAGGAAUGUUCUCCAUGUUCCCAUCCAGCAUGCGGUACCGUAUUAAAGCACCAUUGAAGCACCACUAGAGCCUUACAAUGGACAGAUAGCUUGUGUAGUGGCCUUGAGAGAGACAGGUGAGUGAAUGAAAGGAUUCUUGUGUUUGUCAUAUGCAUUUUGGUCAGGGUUCAAGCCAGAUGAUGUAGGAAACAUAUGCUCUAUCACAUCCUCUGAAAAAGCAUUACAUUAGAAGUCCCUGUAAUGUCUCUGAGAUGCCUGG